AUUGAACGCUGGCGGCAGGCCUAACACAUGCCAGUCGAACGAGUGGCGGACGGGUGCGUAAUGUCUUGGAAACUGCCUGAUGGAGGGGGAUAACUACUGGAAACGGUAGAUAAUACCGCAUCCCAUCGGAUGUGCCCAGAUGGGACUAGCUAGUGGGUGGGGAAAAGGCUCACCUAGGCGACGCUCCCUAGCUGGACUAAGAGGAUAACUAGCCACACUGGAAAUGAGACACGGUCCAGACUCCUACGGGAGGCAGCAGUGGGUGGUAUUGGACAAUGGGCGAAAGCCUGAUCCAGCCAUGCCGCGUGUGUGAAGAAGGUCUUCGGAUUGUAAAGCACUUUAAGUUGGGAGGCGUUACCAACAGAAUAAGCACCGGCUAACUUCGUGCCAGAAGCCGCGGUAAUAC
rnacentral:rRNA from 1 species